GAUGAACGCUGGCGGCGUGCCUAAUACAUGCAAGUCGAGCGAACAGAUGAGGAGCUUGCUCCUCUGACGUUAGCGGCGGACGGGUGAGUAACACGUGGAUAACCUACCUAUAAGACUGGGAUAACUUCGGGAAACCGGAGCUAAUACCGGAUAAUAUAUUGAACCGCAUGGUUCAAUAGUGAAAGACGGUUUUGCUGUCACUUAUAGAUGGAUCCGCGCCGCAUUAGCUAGUUGGUAAGGUAACGGCUUACCAAGGCGGCGAUGCGUAGCCGACCUGAGAGGGUGAUCGGCCACACUGGAACUGAGACACGGUCCAGACUCCUACGGGAGGCAGCAGUAGGGAAUCUUCCGCAAUGGGCGAAAGCCUGACGGAGCAACGCCGCGUGAGUGAUGAAGGUCUUCGGAUCGUAAAACUCUGUUAUUAGGGAAGAACAAAUGUGUAAGUAACUAUGCACGUCUUGACGGUACCUAAUCAGAAAGCCACGGCUAACUACGUG
rnacentral:rRNA from 1 species